rnacentral:rRNA from 1 species
GACGAACGCUGGCGGCGUGCCUAAUACAUGCAAGUAGAACGCUGAAGCGAGGAGCUUGCUCUUCUUGGAUGAGUUGCGAACGGGUGAGUAACGCGUAGGUAGCCUGCCUUGUAGCGGGGGAUAACUAUUGGAAACGAUAGCUAAUACCGCAUAACAAUGGAUGACACAUGUCAUUUAUUUGAAAGGGGCAAUUGCUCCACUACAAGAUGGACCUGCGUUGUAUUAGCUAGUAGGUGAGGUAAUGGCUCACCUAGGCGACGAUACAUAGCCGACCUGAGAGGGUGAUCGGCCACACUGGGACUGAGACACGGCCCAGACUCCUACGGGAGGCAGCAGUAGGGAAUCUUCGGCAAUGGGGGCAACCCUGACCGAGCAACGCCGCGUGAGUGAAGAAGGUUUUCGGAUCGUAAAGCUCUGUUGUAAGUCAAGAACGGGUGUGAGAGUGGAAAGUUCACACUGUGACGGUAGCUUACCAGAAAGGGACGGCUAACUACGUG